GAUGAACGCUGGCGGCGUGCCUAAUACAUGCUAGUCGAGCGAACAGACGAGAAGCUUGCUUCUCUGAUGUUAGCGGCGGACGGGUGAGUAACACGUGGAUAACCUACCUAUAAGACUGGGAUAACUUCGGGAAACCGGAGCUAAUACCGGAUGAUAUUUUGAACCGCAUGGUUCAAAAGUGAAAGACGGUCUUGCUGUCACUUAUAGAUGGAUCCGCGCUGCAUUAGCUAGUUGGUAAGGUAACGGCUUACCAAGGCAACGAUGCAUAGCCGACCUGAGAGGGUGAUCGGCCACACUGGAACUGAGACACGGUCCAGACUCCUACGGGAGGCAGCAGUAGGGAAUCUUCCGCAAUGGGCGAAAGCCUGACGGAGCAACGCCGCGUGAGUGAUGAAGGUCUUCGGAUCGUAAAACUCUGUUAUUAGGGAAGAACAUAUGUGUAAGUAACUGUGCACAUCUUGACGGUACCUAAUCAGAAAGCCACGGCUAACUACGUG
rnacentral:rRNA from 1 species